GAUGAACGCUGGCGGCGUGCCUAAUACAUGCAAGUCGAGCGAACGGACGAGAAGCUUGCUUCUCUGAUGUUAGCGGCGGACGGGUGAGUAACACGUGGAUAACCUACCUAUAAGACUGGGAUAACUUCGGGAAACCGGAGCUAAUACCGGAUAAUAUUUUGAACCACAUGGUUCAAAAGUGAAAGACGGUCUUGCUGUCACUUAUAGAUGGAUCCGCGCUGCAUUAGCUAGUUGGUAAGGUAACGGCUUACCAAGGCAACGAUGCAUAGCCGACCUGAGAGGGUGAUCGGCCGCACUGGAACUGAGACACGGUCCAGACUCCUACGGGAGGCAGCAGUAGGGAAUCUUCCGCAAUGGGCGAAAGCCUGACGGAGCAACGCCGCGUGAGUGAUGAAGGUCUUCGGAUCGUAAAACUCUGUUAUUAGGGAAGAACAUAUGUGUAAGUAACUGUGCACAUCUUGACGGUACCUAAUCAGAAAGCCACGGCUAACUACGUG
rnacentral:rRNA from 1 species